AUACGGAGGGUCCGAGCGUUAAUCGGAAUUACUGGGCGUAAAGCGCGCGUAGGCGGAUAUGUAAGUCAGAUGUGAAAUCCCUGGGCUCAACCUAGGAACUGCAUUUGAAACUGGAUAUCUAGAGUAUGGUAGAGGUGAGUGGAAUUUCAGGUGUAGCGGUGAAAUGCGUAGAGAUCUGAAGGAACAUCAGUGGCGAAGGCGACUCACUGGGCCAUUACUGACGCUGAGGUGCGAAAGCGUGGGUAGCAAACAGGAUUAGAAACCCUAGUAGUCC
rnacentral:rRNA from 1 species